CACAUUCAUCCAUAACCCCCAGGAGCGGGGGCAGGGCUGGGGGCCAGGGGCUCCCCUAACUGCAGAGGCUAGCCUUACACACCCAGCAACACAUGUCUCCCUUUAUGGCCUGGGCUUUCUCUCGCUGCUUAAAGGCAACUGUGAAAAGAGCAGGGCUGAUUCUGGCUGCCUGGCUGUCUCCUGGCAACAGGCCUGGCAGGAGGUCUUUCUUUCUCCCCCCAGCCUCCCUUCGCUCCUCCACCACCCCCCUUUUCCCUUCUCUGCCCUGUGUCUAGUGUUGUGUAUCAUUAAAACUUCCCUCCCAGCCACUUUGCAGCCAACAACCAGGCCCUUCUGGGGCCAGUUCCCUUAGGGCAGCUCAGCUGGCCCCAGGGGUGUGGGAGCCACGGGGUCAAGCCCCCAGAGAGGAGGCUUUGUGCUCUGGAACCAAGGCUUAAACUCGAGUUGGCAACCUUCAGCAUGUUCAGGAGGGCAGCCCCUUGAGCCCUGCCCGCAUCUCUUUCUCCUCCCUUCCAGGACGUCAGUCGCCUCACUGAGUGCCAGAGCCUUCCAAGAGAGCCACUGGGCACUGCCCAGCUGUACCAGUGCCUCCUGGGCCUCAACCCAGUACCCCUCACUUAGAAGGACAAGCUGAAGACUGGGGCAGCCCUAGUCAGAGGCCUGCAGCCAGCUCUGGCUGUGUCUUGGUCUGCUCUGAAAAGGGACAGGGACACAAAGGGUGGGGCCACAGGGAUCACAGGGAGGCAGAACAUCCAAUCGCUGUGUGUGGGAACCAGAAGGACUCUUCAUUUGGCCAAUUUAAUCUAGGGGAACAUUGAGACCCAGAGAGGGGCCUUUGAACUUGCCAUCUUCCUGCCUCAGCCUCCCAAAUGUUGGGAUUACAGGCAUGCACCACCAUACUUGGCAGAGUUUGUACCCUUCACUGGAGGGAAACAAGAAGCCUCUGGCAGCCCUAGAGCACAAGGGUGACCCAGAGACUGGCUCAGCCUCUCUGGACAACUGGGAGACAGUUAAGCUUCCUUUCCUACCAUGAGCAUCAUCGUGGUCACAGAGGCUCAGGAACUGAGGUGCUGUCAUCCAACACACUUGUAAUGAGUGUUCCCAAAUCGCCUACCUGAUACUUCAAGAUACAGGACAGGAAUGGUAGGGGCAGAGAAUCUCAGUUCAUGACCAGGGUGAUUCCAGAUGCAACCCUGGGAACUCCCAUUUCUGCCAGCUCCAGGGCCCCUGGCCAACCAAGAAGAUGCCCUGGUGGCACAGGCUGGCACAUGUAGGAAACUCAGCCCUGUUGUCCCACCAUCCAGGGUCUUCAGAUCCCAGGAAGGGAUCUUAGUAAGGGCUGGAGAGGCGUUGAAGUCCAAACAGGUUUUCUCCUUGACAAUACUCAGAAAGAGAGAAGAGGAAAAGAAUAGGGAAUGUGAAUAAUGAGCCUUCUCACUGUGUGUGUGGAUUCAGUCACCGAACACUGUGCUUUGCCUUGUGAGGCACCCGUGGUCUUCUCCAGCUACUGGAAAACAUCAUUAGCCAGAGAAUUGUUCGUUAAAUUAUAUCAUUUGGCAAAACUAUAUUUCAGACUUUCUGAAAUUGAAAGAAAAAAUAAAGUAAAAGAAAAAUA
rnacentral:lncRNA from 1 species